ensembl:lncRNA
GCUUCUUCUGUCUAACGUAGAACAUGCUUUUAUUUUGAAAGCAUCACUCCCUGAUGAAAAAAUGCGAGCUCAAGACAGAAGUCUUCAGAAGCUGGCUGCAGGUUCAGUAAAGAAGUGGAGAUAACGAGUGAGGAAAGAUGUUCCCUGCUGUCGUGCUCUUAUGGUUGUUUGUUCAGCUUUGCAGUGCACAUGACAUGAAGUGCACCGUCACUCACGCUGGCAGCAAGACGACAUACGACAUCUCAGACCUGUCACCUGAUAUGCGCAACAAGGCUUCCCGCUGCAUGUUUACGUGGUCCAAUGCAACUGAUUUUGUGAUCGCACACCACCGGGGCCUGUUCCUGCAGCCCGUGAUGAGCAGCAGCUUUGGCACACUAAUCACCUCCAAAUGCAUCGGCAAUGUUAGCUUCACAGCCACUUGCGAGAUAAAGCAAAGAGCAUAUGAUUACACAGCCAGCUGCACCCCCGUCUGCCCUCCAGAAGCUCUGAUUGAUGGCACAGGAAUGCCUCCUUCCCAGAUUGGUGUCAUUGUAGCAGCUGUCAUUGUAGCAGCUGUCCUGCUGCUGGUCGGCCUCGUGUAUAGACUUUGGAGUAAAUGCUGUGGCCAGACUGGAGGCAUCUACCCUCAUGUGAUGUUUAAGAAGGCGCCGCAACCAAAAGCUGAUGUGGAGACAGGAGGAGGAUAGAGCAGAUUAGAGCAGCUUCUCGGUGCACGAUAACUCUAUAUCCAUGCUUUCGCCAUCCUUUCCGCUGCAUUACUUAAGUAGCAGUAUGCUUGCAUUAUUAUAUCAUCUCUGCGGGUUUGCUUUUCUAUAUUUUGCCGGGCGGCUUUUUGGGACAGGACAGUUACAGAAUGAAAUCCAUGUUACAGGAUAUUAGAGACUUGAUGGGCCAAACUCUAAUGUAAGAGUUCCUCCUUCCACACUAUUCAAUUCAAUUUUAUUUAUAUGAAACCAAAUGACAACAGUUUAAGGCUCUUCUGUGGCCUCAUCAAUGCUAAAAAACGCUGUGACUGAUAAAAGGUCAUUGAUUUCUUCCCACACAGACAAACCUCAGCUCAGUGUUAGAAACUGUAUCCUGUUACAGCCCUGUUUCAUUAAUUCCACUUGCCGGUUAGCUGAGAGGGAUUGGUGCACAGGUGAAAAGUUCUCUGGGCUGUGGAAGCUCUCAGACUCUUUGCUGCACCAGCGAGUGCACUUUGAGGACCCAGUACCAUGAAUAAAUUAACAAUGACCCCCCUACUUCCAGCCAGGACCCCCAUGUUAGUGUUAAUGAUGUAAACCAGCUGUGGAAGCUCAGAGACUCGUACUGCAGCACCAGGGCGUGCACUUUCAGUGUUCUAUAGCAUUACAGCACAUAGUAUAUAUGCAGAGCAUACAACACUAUAAAGAUUAUUAUAAAUAACUUAUUAUCCAAAUGCUGCUAAUAUUUUUAUAAUAUGUUUUUUAUUAUUUCUAUUAUAUAAGAUAUAUAUGUUUAUAAUAAUUAUAAAUACACUACCUGGGGUUGAGAUGCAAUAAUAAAGUAGAGUGUUCUUGUACUGUAGUACUGGAUUGCUUGUGAUUAUGACCAGUUAUUAUGAAUGUUUUAGUCCUAAAUAAUGCAUCAUGAAUCCUGCCUUAUCAAACGUGUGUGUGUGUGUGUGUGUGCUCACCAAAUCAUUUUUCUGUAUCACAUUUCUUGUAUUUGUUUUUGCUGUUGUCACAGUUUCAUGUUAAUUUCACUUUGCACAUCACAGCUAAUGCACCUGCAAAGAAUAAAAUCACUUUGUCUAAAAACACAA